GAUUAACGCUGGCGGUAUGCAUAACACAUGCAAGUCGCGCGAGAAAGCACCUUCGGGUGUGAGUAGAGCGGCGAACGGGUGAGUAACACGUUGGAACCUGCCUUCAACUCAGGGAUAGCCCACUGAAAAGUGGAUUAAUACCGGAUAGUUCCCUUCGGGGUAAAGCUUCGGCGGUUGAAGAUGGGCCUGCGUCCUAUCAGCUUGUUGGUGAGGUAAUGGCUCACCAAGGCAAUGACGGGUAGCUGGUCUGAGAGGAUGAUCAGCCACAAGGGGACUGAGACACGGCCCCUACUCCUACGGGAGGCAGCAGUGAGGAAUUUUGCGCAAUGGGGGAAACCCUGACGCAGCAAUACCGCGUGGAGGAUGAAGGCUUUCGGGUCGUAAACUCCUUUUAUCUGGGAAGAAUUUUGACUGUACCAGAUGAAUAAGUCACGGCUAACUACG
rnacentral:rRNA from 1 species